rnacentral:rRNA from 1 species
UGGAGCAUGUGGUUUAAUUCGAUGCAACGCGAAGAACCUUACCUACUCUUGACAUCCAGAGAACUUUCCAGAGAUGGAUUGGUGCCUUCGGGAACUCUGAGACAGGUGCUGCAUGGCUGUCGUCAGCUCGUGUUGUGAAAUGUUGGGUUAAGUCCCGCAACGAGCGCAACCCUUAUCCUUUGUUGCCAGCGGUUCGGCCGGGAACUCAAAGGAGGCUGCCAGUGAUAAACUGGAGGAAGGUGGGAUGACGUCAAGUCAUCAUGGCCCUUACGAGUAGGGCUACACACGUGCUACAAUGGCAUAUACAAAGAGAAGCGACCUCGCGAGAGCAAGCGGACCUCAUAAAGUAUGUCGUAGUCCGGAUUGGAGUCUGCAACUCGACUCCAUGAAGUCGGAAUCGCUAGUAAUCGUAGAUCAGAAUGCUACGGUGAAUACGUUCCCGGGCCUU